GUUUUCUGCCACCUAUUAUUAGACUUUGUGGAAAACUUGAGAUGUUGGACAGAUUGCUUCCCAAGCUCAAAGCAACUGGUCAUCGAGUUCUUUUUUCUCAACAAUGACGAGGUUGCUGGAUGUCCUGGAGGAUUAUCUCUGUUGGAAACGAUAUAGGUACCUUCGUUUGGACGGACACGCCUCUAGCCUUGACCGUGGAGCUUUAGUUGAUGAAUUCAACCGUUCUGACUCACAAGCAUUCAUAUUUCUCCUAAGCAUUCGAGCUGGAGGGGUUGGUGUAAAUCUUCAAGCUGUAGAUACUGUCAUCCUAUUUGACACUGACUGGAAUCCACAGGCAAUAUUCACUUCUUGGGAUCCUAUAUUUAUAAUUAUUGUUAGUUUAAGAUUGUCAUCUAACAUUUUCCCUGAGGAUGUAGGUUAGAUACUGUCAUCCUAUUUGACACUGACUGGAAUCCACAAGCAAUAUUCACUUCUUGGGAUCCUAUAUUUAUAAUUAUUGUUAGUUUAAGAUUGUCAUCUAACAUUUUCCCUGAGGAUGUAGGUUGAUUUGCAAGCUCAAGCAAGGGCCCACCGAAUUGGACAAAAGAGGGUUGUACUUGUUCUAUGGUUGGAGACAGUAUGUUGUAUAUUCAUUAGUAAAGCUUACAUAAAGGAUGCUGAUAUCAUACUUGCCACUUUAUAAACAAUUUUUUUUACAAUUAUCUUUUUUUCCCUUGAUUUUUCUGUCAAUGGAUAUC